rnacentral:rRNA from 1 species
UACAGAGGCCCCUAGCGUUGUUCGGAUUUACUGGGCGUAAAGGGCGCGUAGGCGGUCGCGUGUGUGGGAUGUGAAAUCUCCGGGCUCAACCCGGAAAGUGCGUCCCAAACUGCGCGACUGGAGUUCGGGAGAGGGAAUCGGAAUGCAGGGUGUAGCGGUGAAAUGCGUUGAUAUCCUGCAGAACACCGGAGGCGAAGGCGGAUUCCUUGAACGACACUGACGCUGAGGCGCGAAAGUCGGGGGAGCAAAC